rnacentral:rRNA from 1 species
CGAAUCUCACAAAGCCGUUCACAGUUCGGAUUGGGGUCUGCAACUCGACCCCAUGAAGUUGGAUUCGCUAGUAAUCGCGUAUCAGCAAUGACGCGGUGAAUACGUUCCCGGGCCUUGUACACACCGCCCGUCAAGCCAUGGAAGUUGGGGGUACCUAAAGUAUGUAACCGCAAGGAGCGUCCUAGGGUAAAACCGAUAACUGGGGCUAAGUCGUAACAAGGUAGCCGUACCGGAAGGUGCGGCUGGAAUACCUCCUUUCUGGAG